GUUGUAUGGUUAAGUGAUUAAGCGUAGACGGUGGAUGCCUUGGCAGUCAGAGGCGAUGAAGGACGUAYUAACYUGCGAUAAGCCCAGAUAAGGCAGUAAAAGCCAUUUGAAUCUGGGAUUUCCGAAUGGGGAAACCCACCUGCAUAAGCAGGUAUCUUAGYGUGAAUACAUAGCGCUAAGAGGCGAACUCGGGGAACUGAAACAUCUAAGUACCCGAAGGAAAAGAAAUCAAUUGAGAUUCCGGCAGUAGCGGCGAGCGAACCCGGAGCAGCCCUUAAGCGGCUUAGGCGUUAGGUGAACAGGUUGGAAAACCUGGCANACCGACGGCGCCUUAGACGUGAAAACGAGUAGGACGGGACACGUGAUAUCUUGUCUGAACAUGGGGGGACCAUCCUCCAAGGCUAAAUACUCCUGACUGACCGAUAGUGAACCAGUACCGUGAGGGAAAGGCGAAAAGAACCCCUGUGAGGGGAGUGAAAUAGAACCUGAAACCGUCUACGUACAAGCAGUGGGAGCCUCCUUUGUGGGGUGACCGCGUACCUUUUGUAUAAUGGGUCAGCGACUUAAUGUUAGUAGCAAGGUUAACCGCAUAGGGGAGCCGUAGGGAAACCGAGUCUUAACUGGGCGWRYAGUUGCUAGCAUUAGACCCGAAACCGAGUGAUCUAGCCAUGGGCAGGUUGAAGGUUGAGUAACAUCAACUGGAGGACCGAACUCACUAACGUUGAAAAGUUAGGAGAUGACCUGUGGCUAGGGGUGAAAGGCCAAUCAAACUCGGAGAUAGCUGGUUCUCCCCGAAAGCUAUUUAGGUAGCGCCUCGGACGAAUACU
rnacentral:rRNA from 1 species